CAGAAGAAACUAAGAUUUUACAAAUCCUGAACGUGGCUCGGAGUUACUGCUUUUGGUACUGGAAAUUAACCCCGAUCCACGCUCGGGAUUACCGCCAGGGAGGCUAAAUAAAUAACUUCUUAGAGAACAAAAUAGAUACAUUUUAACAGGAACCAUGAACCUUACGAGUUUGGAGGGCACACAAGUUAGUUGCAUUCAUAUACAAUUAAAAACAAACAGUAAUGCUGGUUUACUUUCUCCUAUGCUGCUCCAAUUUGAAAUGCGUUAGAGCCGAGCUUAUUGCCUACAUUGUUUUAUCAUGAACGAUGGGUGAAAGCCAGCAUGCUUUAUUUUAUUCUAUUUUUUACUAUUGUCGUGAUAUUCCUUUAAACAAAAAAUGUUGCGUACACAAAGGUAUCAUCUUCUAUUUGGCUAAUCAAAUAGGUAUUUUCUAUGACUCCAAUAUUUGCCGAACGACUCGCUGUAAUGAAAAAAAGACGAAAAAAAAAAAAACCCCACAAACAAACCGGAAUAAUUAUCACUAUUAAGAAAAAUAAAGGGAUCAUCAUGACAGGCUUAGUCACUUCCUGGUUUGGGAAGAGCAGAUUUAGAAAAAAAUAAACUUAAAAAGGGAGAAUCUUAAUUUCUUUUUGAUAUUUUAAUUAAUUUUCUAAUCCACAAGAAAGUAUAUCUAUUCCGGCCUAGAGCAGGGGUCCUCAAGCACCCCUUACCAGGCCAGGAUUUAGAGAUUACCCUGUUGUCUUAAGUGUGUGUUUUUUGUUUUCUAAAAACACAUUCGACACAAUUGGGUAAUUCUUAAAUCCUGGACUGUUAGGGGGACGCACUGGCCUAGAGAGUCCCUUUUACAGAUCCUCAGGUAAGUGAUAUUUCACAAUUGUCAUUGUUGCUGGUAUUCUCUUCCGGUUGCACAGUUGCAGGCUUUGCACCUGUUCCCCUUUGGUAUUGGGCUCGCUUGUGACACACCACACCCUUUAUAUGACACUUUAUCUUGCUUAAGUGUAUCAUGUGUUAAAAGUGUGUAUGUUUUCCAUUUUACAAAAAGAGUUGAUUUCAGUAGAAAUUGGCACAUUUAUAAAUUAAUCUUAUUACACCCCACUGGCUGUUAGUUCCUGGUUGCUUAUUCAUUAGAGGUAAACGCAAGAGGCAGAGAAUUACCCAGAGCACCUGCAUUGCACAGACUUCUCAUUGAGCUGCAUUGGGAAGUCUGUGAUUGGACAGCAACAGAAUGUCUGGGCGGGGUUAGAAGGGGAGGGCUUGCAAAUCCUGCAGACAAGAGAUCUGCCGCUUUUGCAAGCUGUUUUUAGAUCAGGGCUUGACAAAUUUGUUAGGAGCCAGUCAUUUACCACGAGAAAAAUGCCAUUCUUAAAGAGACACUAUAGUCACCAGAACCACUACAGCUUGAUGUAGUUGUUCUGGUGUCUGUAGCCUGUCCCCUGCACGCUCUCAGUAUAAACACUGCAUUUUCAUUUAAGGCAGAGUUUACGUUGCUGCUUAGUAACACCUCUAGUGACAGUCACUCAGACAGCCACUAGACAGUCCUGGAAUACACUAUGCAGCACCCAGGUUCAGGGUAUCUAAGCUCUGCAUGGAGGCUCUGAAUGUUCCUCAUAGAGAGUCAUUUAUUCAAUGCAUCUCUUAGGAGAUGCGAUUUGGCACAUUUUCUGCGCAUGCCCAAAAUCAUACCAAGGGUUUCCUUAAAUUCCAUUUGUAAAUGACAAACUAUCUAUUAUAGAAUAUCAGGUAAAAAAUAAAUAAAAGAAUGAAAUCUUUUAAUCAAGUUUGCCUUUUUGUAUUUGAACCCAUCCAUACAAGAGAGGCAGCACUUAUACUUGUAACCCUUUAAGGACCAAACUUCUGGAAUAAAAGGGAAUCAUGACAUGUCGUGUCCUUAAGGGGUUAAAUACAAUGUAUUAAAAAAAAAACUAACAAAAAAAUGACAUGCAAAGAAUCCAGCUUACAACACAACAGCCAUUCUAUUGCUCACUCAGCAAUGAAGAAAAAGCUGAACUUUUUUUUCCCAGCAAAUCACUGCUUUUCUAUGUACAAUGUAUGGAAGGAGUACUAGGCAUGGACUUUAAUAACAUUAUAAGCAGCGUUUUCAGUAGUUCUGUGUUUUCCUGUGUAAAAUAGUCAAAUAAGCUUAGCACAACUGCAAGUAUGCACAUUCAUUUUACUGAAAAUCUUGCUAUUUUGCAUUUUCAACAGUACCAAUGGGAAUUGAUGAUGGCCAAAUUCAGCAGGUUUUUGUAUUGAUAUUUUUGCAAAAAAAAGACAUCUCUGCAUGCAUAUUAAACAAGGAAAGGAGUUUUAAAAAGCACACUCCAGAUCUCCAAAGCAGUCUGGCUUGAUGAAAUGAUUUAAGGGUGAUAAAAAAGGGUGACAGCCAGGAGAGCUCCACAAUUCAUUCUGCCUAAACAAUCAUUCAAGCAGAUGUGAAAGCGUCCAUAGGGAUACAUUAGUCUAAUAUUUCCCUAUGAGAAGCAUUCUAUUGGCGACUGGCACAUUUGUGGUAAUUGCAGUGCAUGUGCCAUUCAGCUGGAGAGGAAAGAAUUGUGGCACUGGCAACCUCUUGGGAAAAAGUAGAAAAGUUUCAAGAGAGGAAGGACUUGUUGUGGUGUAUAUUUUUUUUCAUUUUGUAAGGGGUGCAUUUAAAGAAAUAGUUUUUUUU